UUGCAACUAAUCUGAGUCAGCAUUAGUUAGUGUUAGUUUGCAAAUCAGCUAGUUAGUGAAAAUUUAGUUAGUGGACGUCACAUGUAUAUAUUGAACAAUACCCAAUACAUUAAAUCUGAGUUUUCAUUUCACAACUUAAUAAACUCUCAACGAUUCGUCUCCUCUCUCUACGAGCUCCUCCUAGAAGCUAUCGAAUCCUCCAUUGGAGGAGAUAUAAAGCUUGGUUCAUAGCUGAAGUCUUGACAAAAAGGAAGCCACUUUCUAUUUGAUUUUCUUUUAUUCAUCGGAUUUAAAUUUGAGACCUCUAGCUAAAGAUAGUGAUGUUCAAUCUCACUAGAAAUUUCGAGUAUCUCUACCUAGCACUUU
rnacentral:lncRNA from 1 species